rnacentral:rRNA from 1 species
GAUGAACGCUAGCGACAGGCUUAACACAUGCAAGUCGAGGGGCAGCAUAAAAGUAGCAAUGCUUUGGUGGCGACCGGCGCACGGGUGAGUAACGCGUAUGCAACCUACCUAUCAGAGGGGAAUAACCCGGCGAAAGUCGGACUAAUACCGCAUAAAACAGGGGCACCGCAUGGUGAUAUUUGUUAAAGAAAUUCGCUGAUAGAUGGGCAUGCGUUCCAUUAGGUAGUUGGUGAGGUAACGGCUCACCAAGCCGACGAUGGAUAGGGGAACUGAGAGGUUGGUCCCCCACACUGGUACUGAGACACGGACCAGACUCCUACGGGAGGCAGCAGUGAGGAAUAUUGGUCAAUGGGCGGGAGCCUGAACCAGCCAAGUCGCGUGAAGGGAGAAGGAUCUAUGGUCCGUAAACUUCUUUUGCAGGGGAAUAAAGUGCAGGACGUGUCCUGUUUUGUAUGUACCCUGAGAAUAAGGAUCGGCUAACUCCGUGCCAGCAGCCGCCGUAAGAC